GGCAGCUUAGGCUUAUUGUGUAUUGGUGUUUUUUGGAGGGGAAAUGAAAACACAGGUCUGGCAUUGUAUGGCUUAUUGCAGUGGGUAGGCCUGAAGCUUAAACUGCAAUAGCCCUUACAUUAAACUGGCCCUGUUAAUAAGAUGAAGUGGUUAUGGUUUCUAGAGUCUCCCUUUAAGUGGUGCAAACAAGAGAGUGAAAGUGAUGUUUUCACUUUAC